GAUGAACGCUGGCGGCGUGCCUAAUACAUGCAAGUCGAGCGAACGGACGAGAAGCUUGCUUCUCUGAUGUUAGCGGCGGACGGGUGAGUAACACGUGGAUAACCUACCUAUAAGACUGGGAUAACUUCGGAAAACCGGAGCUAAUACCGGAUAAUAUUUUGAACCGCAUGGUUCAAAAGUGAAAGACGGUCUUGCUGUCACUUAUAGAUGGAUCCGCGCUGCAUUAGCUAGUUGGUAAGGUAACGGCUUACCAAGGCAACGAUGCAUAGCCGACCUGAGAGGGUGAUCGGCCACACUGGAACUGAGACACGGUCCAGACUCCUACGGGAGGCAGCAGUAGGGAAUCUUCCGCAAUGGGCGAAAGCCUGACGGAGCAACGCCGCGUGAGUGAUGAAGGUCUUCGGAUCGUANAACUCUGUUAUUAGGGAAGAACAUAUGUGUAAGUAACCGUGCACAUCUUGACGGUACCUAAUCAGAAAGCCACGGCUAACUACGUGCCAGCAGCCGCGGUAAUACGUAGGUGGCAAGCGUUAUCCGGAAUUAUUGGGCGUAAAGCGCGCGUAGGCGGUUUUUUAAGUCUGAUGUGAAAGCCCACGGCUCACCGUGGAGGGUCAUUGGAAACUGGAAAACUUGAGUGCAGAAGAGGAAAGUGGAAUUCCAUGUGUAGCGGUGAAAUGCGCAGAGAUAUGGAGGAACACCAGUGGCGAAGGCGACUUUCUGGUCUGUAACUGACGCUGAUGUGCGAAAGCGUGGGGAUCAAACAGGAUUAGAUACCCUGGUAGUCCACGCCGUAAACGAUGAGUGCUAAGUGUUAGGGGGUUUCCGCCCCUUAGUGCUGCAGCUAACGCAUUAAGCACUCCGCCUGGGGAGUACGACCGCAAGGUUGAAACUCAAAGGAAUUGGCGGGGACCCGCACAAGCGGUGGAGCAUGUGGUUUAAUUCGAAGCAACGCGAAGAACCUUACCAAAUCUUGACAUCCUUUGACAACUCUAGAGAUAGAGCCUUCCCCUUCGGGGGACAAAGUGACAGGUGGUGCAUGGUUGUCGUCAGCUCGUGUCGUGAGAUGUUGGGUUAAGUCCCGCAACGAGCGCAACCCUUAAGCUUAGUUGCCAUCAUUAAGUUGGGCACUCUAAGUUGACUGCCGGUGACAAACCGGAGGAAGGUGGGGAUGACGUCAAAUCAUCAUGCCCCUUAUGAUUUGGGCUACACACGUGCUACAAUGGACAAUACAAAGGGCAGCGAAACCGCGAGGUCAAGCAAAUCCCAUAAAGUUGUUCUCAGUUCGGAUUGUAGUCUGCAACUCGACUACAUGAAGCUGGAAUCGCUAGUAAUCGUAGAUCAGCAUGCUACGGUGAAUACGUUCCCGGGUCU
rnacentral:rRNA from 1 species